rnacentral:rRNA from 1 species
ACGCUCGACACCUACGGGGGCAGCAGUGGGGAAUAUUGCACAAUGGGGGAAACCCUGAUGCAGCAACGCCGCGUGAAGGAAGACGGUUUUCGGAUUGUAAACUUCUGUUCUUAGUGAAGAUAGUGACGGUAGCUAAGGAGCAAGCCACGGCUAACUACGUGCCACCAGCCGCGGUAAUCUGAGCGGGCUGGCAAGGC